rnacentral:rRNA from 1 species
GGUUGAUCCUGCCAGUAGCCAUAUGCUUGUUUAAAGGAUUAAGCCAUGCAUGUGUAAGUAUUAAUGAGAUUUUUAAUAGUGAAACUGCGAAUGGCUCAAUAAAACAGUUAUAGUUUAUUCGAUGAUAUCGAGGUUAUUUGGAAUAACCGCAGUAAUUCUGGGGCUAAUACAUGCUUAAAAGGGAAAUACUAUUAAAAGUGUUUUACCUGUAUUUAUUAGACUUGAAAAUUGGUAUUGUUCAGCAAUGAACAAUUCUUACUGGUUGAACCAUAAUAACUAAUUCGUAAAAGA